UACGUAGGGGGCGAGCGUUGUCCGGAUUUAUUGGGCGUAAAGAGCUCGUAGGCGGUUCGGUAAGUCGGAUGUGAAAUCUCCACGCUCAACGUGGAGGGGCCAUUCGAUACUGCCGUGACUCGAGUCCGGUAGGGGAGUGUGGAAUUCCCGGUGUAGUGGUGGAAUGCGUAGAUAUCGGGAGGAACACCAGUGGCGAAGGCGGUUGCCUGGAGCUUUGCUGACGCUGAGGCGCGAAAGCGUGGGGAGCGAUCCGG
rnacentral:rRNA from 1 species